rnacentral:lncRNA from 1 species
ACGUGGUGGGGCAGAUUCGAAACCGAGGCUUGGACAUGAAAUCCUUCCUGUAAGUGCCCCCCCUGAGCGGGCCGGCCCCCACCUCCCGACCCAGCCUCUUUUCCCUCGUCUCCUUGGGAGCCUCCCUGGCCCUCCGUGGCCAGGGUUGCGGGGGCAGACUCGGCCGACCCCUCCCCAGCCUCUUGUGGCUGGAGGCUCCUGCCCGAACCACCCCCACCCCACCCCCGGCCCCCCACCGCCCCCCAUCCCCGUGGAAGGAUUCUUAUCUGAGCCACCCCUCUGGAGACUGCAGCUCCCCCCACGACUUCGUUCCCUUCCCGGGGCUUGGAGAAGGUCCCCCCACCCCCACUAAAAGUCAGUGGGGACACUAGACAAUGCCACCAGGUCGGCCUCCUCUUCCCGCUAGUCCCAGGCUGCUCCUGGCCUCCCUGCCAGCCUCCUCCCCUCCCCCCAAACCUGGGCACCGGCCCUGCCUCCAACCCUCCAGAUCACCUCCUCCCUGUAACCCGACUCUGACUCCGCUCACCUUCCCGCCCCACACUUCCUCCCUCCCUCUCACUUCCUCUGUCCCUGCCAUCAGCCCUGUCCUCUGCCUCUCUGACCUUCUACAGCCACCUGUCCUCCAGCUCCCAGAGUGACCCAUCCCCUGAGGACAAACCUCAGAUGUUCCCCCCAAAGCUUUGGAAACCGUACUUUCUCAAUCAGAGCCUUUCAAGUGUACGGGUCUGGGAAGUAACCACACACCGUGGGUAUCUUAGCCAUCCCUCAUUCCCCCCAACCACGCGCUGCCCUGAACCCCCCUCACAGGUAGGGCCCCCACCCAGGGCUCCCUCUCUCUGCCAUCACUCUGGGCAUCUGGACUCUCAGAGCCCAGGGCAGACCUGGGCUUUUGUCCCUGGUAUCAGUCGCCUCCUCCGGCCUAACAUGACCUUCCUUCCAGGCUCUGGGGAUUAUUCCCAUCACCCAGGUCUUCCUGGGAGCACUUUUCAUGGAGCAAGAGACCAGCACUAAGCCUGGGAGAGGAGAAAGGGAGGAGGAAAGGGAAGGCCAAGGUCAAAGCCCAGCUCAUUGGCAAGAUGUGGGGAUUCUGAAGACAAGCAGGGCAGGUCCCUCCAAGCAUCCUGCCUCUCCAGCUGAGACUCCAGGCCUCCAGGGCAGACAGGAGUACUGGCCGAGGCAGAGGCACCCCGACAGAAGAGGCCCCGCCUCGCCAGCUUCCCAUAUCCGUGCAAGUGGCCUGUGGCCCCGGCCCGGGAGCGCGUGCUGCCUGUGACUCUACUCGGCAAAUCCAGGCAGUGCCUCUGCUGGGGCUCUCCCCCAUCCAAGGACCCUUGGGGAUCCAGCUGGUGCCUGCAGGCGACAAGAUGCCCAGCAGAGCCUCCUGGCUUCCAGGUGGUGGUUUGUUUCCGGACGGAUGCGGUGGCACUGGUGCGAAUUAGGAGAGUGGAGGGAAUUGGUUCUGCUGUGGCUUGAACAGAACCGGGAGCCCUUGGGCCCCGCACCCCUCGGCUCCUCCUGAGCUCAGACUGCUCUUUGCAUAGCCAUUACCUUGCCUCCUGUUCUAGCAGCCAUCACACCGGGGCAGGGGCCGUCCCCAGGCCCUGGGAAGAAAGGACGCGGCUGCAGGAAAGCCUCUGUGUACCAACUCUUCUCUGCCCUCUGAGCCCCCGGCCAACUGGGAUUUGAUGAGCCGGAGCUCAGACACCAGCAUCCUUUGUCCACACUCCUCUGCCCGCCUCUGGCUUUAUGGGCCCCUCUCCUGCCACCUCUGGAGCUCACCCAGCUCCCCACCUCCGCCUCUUGUCAUUCCUCACAGCAGGGGUCGGCAAAUUUUUUUUCUGUAAAGGGCCAGAUUAUAAAUAUUUUAGGCUUUGUGGGACACGUGGUCUCGAUCACAUUUUUUAAAGCAACACUUUAAACACGCACAAGCCAUUCUUAGCUUGUGGGCUGUAGGAAGACAGGCCACCAGCUGUACUUUGCCCACCUCUGACCCCUGCCUUCCAGUUUCGCUGGUGUGCUUCUGAGGCCCUUUUCUUGCCCCAGAUGCUGCCUUCCAGGUAGAGAGUCAGGGCGGGAGGGCUGGCCAGGCCUCCCAGGACCCCACCCCCUCUUGCGGGGAGGGUGGCCGUUCCUCCUGCUUAAUGGGUGUGAACUCCCCCCCCCCCCCCCAGUACCACCAGCUUCUCCCCAGACCCUCCUCUUGUCCCUCGUUCUCACCCUUGCAGCCUGUGUAGCUGGAGAGAAUGACAAAUUGGGAAUUUAUGCAGAGGAGCCGUUUUGUUUUUAAGAAGAGCGAAAAGGAGUAUCUGAAAAAUGCAUUAACCGGGGGAAAAACAUGUUGUUUUCGCUGGGUUCUCCUUCCCCCAGCUCCACCAGCUCCCGAGCAGCCAAAUGGAAUUUUACCAACUCUGAAACAGUACCGGUGGGCAGAGAAGAAAAGGAGGAUUUGUCCUGAGGGAAGUGGAGUUGUUCCCCGAAAGUUAGAUGCCGGCACGAGGGUCAACCUUGGAGUGACAGGCCCAGGACAAAGAUGCCUGGACAUCUUUGGAAGGACAGUGCAACCACGUAGCUCCCCUCCCUCCCUCGGCCCUCACGGCCAUCUCCCACCCACCCCCCCACCGCCGCCCCCCCACCCUGAAGGGCCACCCUUCUCCUACUCCAGUUGCCUUUCUGACCACCCUCUGGGAAAUAACCGCAGCUGGCCCUUCUUAUCUAAACCUUGCCCUCUCCGACUGUGGUUGAAGGGGCAGACUUCCUGACCCAGGAUCCCCCUCCCCCUUCCAGAACAUUCCAUCAGGCUUACCAGCUUCCCCUUGGCCCUUCCUGAGACAUGCUUUCCUGCCUGCCCCAUC